rnacentral:rRNA from 1 species
CAGCCGCCGCGGGAAUACGUAGGGUGCAAGCGUUAAUCGGAAUUACUGGGCGUAAAGCGUGCGCAGGCGGUUUGUUAAGACAGAUGUGAAAUCCCCGGGCUCAACCUGGGAACUGCAUUUGUGACUGGCAAGCUAGAGUGUGGCAGAGGGGGGUGGAAUUCCGCGUGUAGCAGUGAAAUGCGUAGAUAUGCGGAGGAACACCGAUGGCGAAGGCAGCCCCCUGGGCCAACACUGACGCUCAUGCACGAAAGCGUGGGGAGCAAACAGGAUUAGAUACCCCGGUAGUCCCUGUCUCUUAUAC